AAGUGUAAAGAUAAAAACACAGUUCCGGUUGGUAGUCCGGACGUAGCAAAUGCUAUCAGUAACCUGCCUCCUUUGGUUGUCCCUUCUUUACUAAGUAAAU
rnacentral:ncRNA from 1 species